rnacentral:rRNA from 1 species
UACGGAGGGUGCAAACGUUGCUCGGAAUCAUUGGGCGUAAAGCGCACGUAGGCGGCCUGUUAAGUCGGAUGUGAAAGCCCCGGCUCAACUGGGAGGUCACGCGAUACUGGUCGACUCGAAGGCAGGAGAGGGUAGUGGAAUUCCCGGUGUAGUGGUGAAAUGCGUAGAUAUCGGGAGGAACACCAAUUGCGAAGGCAGCUCGCUGGACGUUACUGACGCUGAGACGCGAAAGCGUGGGAGCAACAGGG